rnacentral:tRNA from 1 species
GCGGAUUGGGUCAAAUGGUAAAA